rnacentral:rRNA from 1 species
UACGUAGGGUGCGAGCGUUGUCCGGAAUUAUUGGGCGUAAAGGGCUCGUAGGCGGUCUGUCGCGUCGGGAGUGAAAACUCAGGGCUUAACCCUGAGCCUGCUUCCGAUACGGGCAGACUAGAGGUAUGCAGGGGAGAACGGAAUUCCUGGUGUAGCGGUGGAAUGCGCAGAUAUCAGGAGGAACACCGGUGGCGAAGGCGGAUCUCUGGGCCGAUACUGACGCUGAGGAGCGAAAGCGUGGGGAGCGAACAGG